rnacentral:lncRNA from 12 species
CAGUUUCUCUCCCACGAAGCUUAAAGUAUUGAAUUAAAAAUUAUCAUUUGCUGAUUGUUUGCCCUACAGUGGACGGUUUACAGAAUCAUUUUUGUCUGUUUGCAUAUACUUAUUCCUCAGUGCCUAGAACUUAUGAAGUCUACAUACCUGGUGCAAAGAUGGCAUCAAGACUAUUGGUGGAAUGAAUGAAUUGAAUCAUUUUAUCUUCAAUACCACCUCAUGUGGCUGGAAGAACUGCUGCAAGCUGGGAUAACACCAAGCAAUUACUAUAAGAAAAAGAUAGUACUGUGGGAGAAGUGGUUGCCAUGGAAACUGGCCAAGGAUAAACAGUCUCUUCUAGGGCGAUGUGAGGCAAGGAGACAGGAGCAGACCACAGCUCUCAGGAGUGGGAAGAUAGCUGGGGAGUCACGUUGUUCUCUGAGCUCCAUCUGCCUGGCUCUUUGGAACUUACAGGAGCAUUGUAUUGUCUACUCAAGUGACCCUGGAGGUAAGAAGGGAGGGUGUUAUGACAUCCUCGGGGGCGCCCGACACAAGGGAAAGCAGACCGCUGGAUCCGUAGACACUGGAGAGUUUCAAAGAAAUACACUUUUCAUUGACCUUCUGAAGAUUUGCCCUGGGCUGGAAGCAAAGCAACCUGGGCUGUUAGCUCAAACAUGUUACAAGCUGCCUGACUAGUUGAGGAGCAUCAGAAAGUGGCGGGUUAAAUUCGCCAGCUCUGUUUUUGCCGGUCACAUAGUGGUUAAAUGCAUGAACUUUGGGCCACCCUUCCUUGGUUCAAAUCCUAGUUCUUACCUGUUAGCAGAUAUAUAAUUUUAGGCAAGUCCUUGAACUCCUGUAGUCUUCAGUAUUCUUGUUUGCAGGGGAUGAUAAUGGUAAUAAUGCUGCUGCUGACAAACCUUUCCAAACAUAUAUUUUUUAUAAAAUGUAAAAAUGUCUACCACUUAGUGCAGUGUCUGGCAUGUUUGUAUAGGCUCAUUAAAUGCUGAUCACUGUAAUUGCUUAUAAAUAAAGUGUUUUUUGGCAAGAGAUACGAUAUUAUG